GAGUGCUGAAGUGAAGACUAAAGUGAGGCACUGAGGUAGUGAGGCGUAUGACAAAAUUAGCCAAUUAGGGUUAACAACUUACCACAAAUUAAUAGGACGGUGUAGAUUAACUCACUCCAUUGGGGUUUUUUAAAACGAGACGGGCCGGGUCUUUACGGGAUCUAGCUCACAAGGCUCGAUCCUGAACCCGAAAUUUUGAAUAGGGACGGGCCGGGCCGGGCCUUCAAUAUUCAAAGUGAAGUCCCGUCUCGUCCCUUGAAUUUUAGGGACGAGAUCGGGACGGGCCUUCGGGACCGGUUUCGGAUGCCCAGCCCUACUAUAUCUCAUACUUAUUCAAUGAAGUUCAUCUCUUGACCCAAAAAAAUCUCUUGCCUGACUUAAACUUAUUAUAAUUUGAACGAACAAGGAAAAUAAUUCAGAGUAUAAUGAUCAAGUUACCUAAAUCAAUAUUAUAAAUGAAAAUUUUAAACCUUCAUAAAAAGUCUAUUUAUUAGUGGGGAACUGCUAACCUCUUGAAUCACAAUAUUUCAUGAGCUACUAAAUAUGAAUGUUAAAUUUUCUUUUCAAUUUGCGAAUUUAAUUUAAGUUUUGAUUUUUUUGAUUACCUUAUUAAAAAGAGGAUUGAUUUAUAGAUGACAAUACGUAUACUAAUAUGAAUGUUUGUAUAUCCUCUUAAUAUGGACAUGCCUAUAUAAGAAGCUUAUACCAAAUAUAGUUUAUUAAUAACGAUCUAAUUAAUAAUCACACCAAAUUAACGAAUAAUUAUACCAAAUAUUGUUUUUUGUUUUCAUCAACAUCAUUUAGUUAACUUUUUUAAUCGAGUUGAUUUAGUUGAACUAAAUUAAAUGCAUUUCUUUAUGAAGUCAAAUAUUAUAAUAAACCACCACAGGUGGUCGAGUUGGUAAGAGCCUAGAUGUGGAACCCCCAUACUCAGGUUCGAAUCCCAGCCGACGCUAAUUGGAGUUAAAUCCUAAUUUAUUCUUGGUUGGCCAGGGAGGAGGAA
rnacentral:lncRNA from 1 species